rnacentral:piRNA from 1 species
GGGAACGGAACUGAGGACCGAUC